GAGAGUGCAGCGGGAGACUGAGACGAAGAUUAUGAGCCGUGAACAAUUAAGAUGCUUAAACUUGGCGAAAUUGUCAUUGUUAUUGGUUAAAAGAGUCGAAAAGGAGCAUAUGCACCAGAAAGAGGUGCAGAAGAAUCAUUAUCUGCAUUUUUGUUGGUUUUUUGCUAAUGAAAAAACAUUCAUUGAAUCUCGGCCAGGUUUUUGGUUUUUUCCUUGAAUUCUCUCUUCUGGAUAGAAGAUGGCGAGCCACCCAGCUUGAAUUUGGUGAUCUUCAUUUGAUUUGUGCGGAGUGCCUUUGAAUCCAGCACUUUGGUAGGACUGUACAAUUACAACCUAUGGAUCUCUCCUUCUAGAACCUUGCUUGAUAUUGAACCUAAAGGAACUUUACUUCCUGUGAAUUUGAACCCUAAUCUGAGCUCAGCAACGUGAACUGAAUGGACAGAACUGGUGAUCCUUAAUUCAUCAAAUCCCAAUACAAUUGUUCGCAAUGUAAAAACCUGUUACUAUUGUGAUGGAUACAGCUGCUCAAACAUAUUGAGCUGUUCAGGGAGUGAAGACCGCUGCAUUACAGCAACAGGGUCUGUUAAGGGCAGCCAACUGUGGGAAAUGGCUGUGUCUCUAAAGCCUUUUGUGAUUCUAAAACAUUAGUUAAUCUUUUCAGGACAUCUCAUGUUGUAAGGGGAACCUGUGUAACUAAAUCUGCUGCACUAAAUCCAGCAGCUCUGGAGAUUCUGCAGCAAAGCCACAAUCUGACAUUCUGAAUAUAGCUUGUGUUUCCUUGUUCUAUCAUUACAGGAAAUUAUCACACAUGUAAGUCCUUUAUGGUAGCUUUCUGCUUUAAAAUCUUUUUUUGAGUUUAACAUUUUGCUGGGUACAAAGCUAUAGCUAGUAAUCAUCUGAGGAAAAUCCCACUUUAUUCAUGUGUUUUGAGAAAUUAACAAAUGUAAUGUAAGUAAAUAAUCAAAUAAAAUUUUACUUUAUUUAUGUUUAUGAUUAAUACAACAGAACAUCAAGCUAUAUGUUUGAUUCAAACAGCGGUUCUCAAACAAUGGGGGCAUUUGCAAAUUGAAGGGGGCUCCAUGUCUUGCAAUAAUUUAAAUUUAGUUACAGAGCUGCAGACUGUGACCUUUUCCCUGCUGGUAGCCUAUCUGAAAUACACAAUUGAGUUUAUAGUUACAGUGUGUCUCUUCCAUUUGUUCCAUUCAUUUGUAAAUGUUUAUAAAACAGUAAUGUUUAUUAAGGCCAAAAGUAGCAAAAGUGGACAAAGAGCUCUUCACAACGUAAAAAAAACAUGAGGUGACUUUUACUGUUUCAGAUUUGAAAAACAAAAAGGCGCGAAUAAAGAAUCCUAAACAGACCCUUUACUUUGUGUAAAAACAACUUUUAAAGAACAAUGUUUUUUACAGAGCACUGCUGAAUUUAAGCUUGAGCAGCAAGAAAAAUAAUGUUUUUAUUGUGAUGAAAUUGAUCAACAAUUAAUAUGCAAUUCGUUUUUUACUAAGUAAUUUAUUUGAUCAGAUGGCGUGUGUAAGUGAAGUUUCCUCUGGCUUUCUACAUCCUGUUUUACUUGUAAUAGAUUCAGCAGCAAAGACAACCACAAAAACUGUCACAUGCAUUUCAAUUCAUGCAUAACUAAAUAAAGCUUCUUUUGUUGGUC